ACAAAAAAAAAAAAAGGAAAAGUGUAUCACCAGGUUCUUCUUCUAUAUAUACAGCGAGAGUGAGUGACGCUCCCAAAGUCUCUCUCGCAAUCGCAAACAACAACAACACAAAAUCUCUCUGCUCUUCGCUUCGCUCGUUUCUACUUCUCAUCUUCCUCAGUAUUCAUCUCUCUGGUUCAAACGAGGGCCUUCUAGGGUUUCAUCGAUUCCACUAUCACUCCGAUCGGGUUAUGUUAUCAUCCUUCUCUCUCUGUUUCGUUGGGACUCUUACCUAAUUGGUAUCAUCAUCAACGGUUCUGUUCUGUUCUGUUCGUUCUUCUAAUUAUAUUUAUAACUAUCGCAGGAUUCCGAUUGUGUUUCCAACGGGACUUGUGGAGAUCGUCCACGCACACACACUCACUACACUAAGGGUGUCAGGUAAAACUAAACUGUUCUUGUUCGCCGAAAUUGGAACUCACUACACUAGUUUCGUAUCUUCUGUGUUAUUAUUAAGAACUGCCUCCUCAAAACUUGUGCAUAUCACACUCACUCUCUUUUUUCCUUUAUUUAUAUUUAUUCUCGUCCUCUUCGCACUUAAUUGCUGGCUGGUAAGUGGUAAGAAGGUUACUGUACUGCUACGUGACAGUCCUCAGAGGUGCAUCCGUAUUAGAUGUAGCUAGCUACUGGGAACAAGAACUCUAACCGAGAAGCUAUCAUAGUUCCUGGACGAGGGAGGGAGGUGAAGGCACAAUUCAAAUCGUUGGAGCUCAUUGCCAUCUAUGCUCUACCAUUACAUAGGUAUAUCGUUACAAAUCAUCCCGCUCUGGCUUAUGGUAGCUUCAAGAAUUGCGUUGAAAAGCUUGAAGGACGGAGAAUAUGAUGGGAUCUUUUUUUUGCUCUCUAGACAACAAACACAAAUUGUGGAAUCGUGAGGAGUGUUCGGCAAGCAUGUCAAUAUCGAUUCUCAGAAAAGCUUGAAGGAAUGAGAUUAUGAUGAGAUCUAUUUUUUGCUCUCUCAACAACUAAAACAGAUUGUGGAAGCUUGAGGAAUUGCUGGCAAGCAUGUCAAUGUCGAUUCUCAGUAUUUUGCAGGAUCUUUAUGUUUUCGUUUGCAAUGGGACCUGUGAUAGCAUAUCACACGAAGACGCACACACAAGUUUCGUCUCUUCUGUGGUAUAUGAUCUUCUACUGUAUAUUGUUAGAAUUCAUACCUCUGGCUUAUGGUAGCUCUGAAGGAGGUAUCUCUGAAGAUCUAGCCGGUGUGUUAUUCUAAAGAAGGUAUCUCUGAAGAUCUAGCCGGUGUAUCUUAGUUGAGCUAUCAUGAUGCGUCUCUGGAGAUCUAGCACUUUGAGCCCAGUUGAUCAUUAUCUAUCCCCAUUUUCUUAGCUUCUGUCAUGUUGUUACUCGAAGCUUGUAAAUGCCAAUGAAAAGAGGCUGCUUCUGCCCAGUGAUCUGCUUCCUGCUAGUUCCAAAUCUUACAUGACUAGUGAUCCUGGUGUUCUGAGGAACUACUUAAAUCUUUUGGUAGACAGAAGAAGCUCAAUCGUCGAUGCAAAGAUUCAUUGAUGUUUUUAUGUUUUUGAGCAAGUCAGGCAAGUCAGACUCAUUACUCGCAAUCACUCAAUAGUUCGUGUCACUAGUUCCCCAUCCAUUAGUAAGAGCACCAGAAUUCAAAGCAAAACCCAGGAUUCUACUGAGCUAAAUGGAGUCCAGAAGCAGGUUUGCUUAAAAAGCUUGUAGCUAAGUUUAAGAUCGAAGAUAUGCCUAUGGGAUUGAAGAAUGAAGAAGAAUCAGGACCAAAAAGAAAAGCUUGAAGGAAUGAGAUUGUGAUGGUUUAAUUUCAGUUGAACUUUACGAUUGUGAUGGGAUCUUCAAGCUUAGGAUCUUACUGUUUUUGUUUGCAACGGGACCUGUGAUAGCAUAUCACACGAAGACGCAUACACAUGGUUCGUCUCUUUUGUGGAGGCUCUUGGUUUUUUCUAUUUGCAGCAGGUUCAAGGUUUUCUCAUUAGCUAGAUCUUUUUGAGGAAUCCAUUCUUGUGCAUAAGGCUCUACAGCAUAAUGCAGUGGUCGAUGAGCUUAUUUUGCUCUGUUAAGUAAUGGUAAUUCAUAAAUGGGCCAUUUAUUUCCUCUUCAUACCUUCAGUCACGAUGUGUCAAAGAUAUGUGUAGUUGUUAGAUUAUAAAAGUUGAGUACUGGUCAGUUCAUGGAGCACGAUACUAUUGCAGGUCUUCCAUGGCUAUUACAACUUGGUUCCCCCUCAAUUAGCAAAUAUUUCAAAUUUGUCCCCCUUUAUUUUUUACUUUGUUAUGUUUCGAUGUGCAAGUAUAUUUGCCAUUUACUGCUUCCAACCAAAUUUGUCGCCCAGCAGUCACUAUCAUAAGUAAUGUUUGUAUUCUAAGGCUAUCUUUGUGAACCGACUCCAGAAGAUUUCAGUUUGGCAAUGGUUAUAUUCAUCGAGGAUCCUGAAUUGGCGAAGGGAAUGGGAGCUGAGGCCAGGAAUCAUGUCGUUGAAUCAUUCUCUGUGAAGACGUUUGGACAGAAGUUGAAUCAGUAUCUCGUUGAUGUCGUAUCAAGUCCUAAAGAAGACGAUUGAGAUUCCUCUGUUUAGUAAUCAUUGAUUGUUUCGUUAAACAUUAUACUUUAGGCUUAGGUCUGAAAGUACAGUAAAUUUUAUUAUCGGAACAAUCAUCUUUAACUUUAACUUGACAGUUUUGUUUUGUUAUCUGUUUUUGGUUUGAGGAUAAAUUUGACGAAAUAAGAUCGAA